GUCUUCCUGGGCAGAUGCCACAUGCCGACUUGGGAGCUUUGCCGACCUUCUUGGUGUACAGGUACACAAUACGGUUACCAGGUGUCCGUGACCUGCAGACCAACACGAGAGAAACAUAAUCGUAAACAGGAUUACAUUGGAUUAUCAAGUUAUAAUGUUUCAGAGGAAAGCAGAGAGCCGCCAUACCUGCUGUCUGCGUAACCGGAAGAGGAAGGAGCAAGGCGGGUGUUACAGGUUAAAGUUUCCCCAUGCCGGCUGUUUCAUGACUGCUCCCUGCUGGUGGCUCGUCUUUACUACACAGUUCUUCUUCUUCUAUUGGCUUUUAUUGGCGGUUGGCAACCAGCUUUUGGGAUUUUUGAAUAACAGCUUUUAACUGUUAUUCCCUAUAGUCUAUAUCCUAUACCUGUGUCCUUUAAGUAUUUCAUUAAAACACCCCUUUUUUGAUGUCCUCCCUAAUAAAUUCCUUAAAGUCAAUUCCGGCUUUUCUUUUGUCAGCAUUUGGAUCACUUCCUGUCGUUCAUCCCUGUACUUACUACACUCCAGCAAUACAUGCUGGACUGUUUCCGGCUGUGUACACUGUGAACAAAGACCUGUUGGAUGUUUCCCUAUUUUACUGAGUGUAUGUUUGAGUCCUGUGUAUCCUAUUCUGCCCCUAUUCUUGGAUACUGUAAAGAUGUCUUCCUGUGUUCACACUAUCCCAGCUUUCCUGCCAGAUUGUGUACAUGUUUAGACUGAUAAUAGAUUUGAUUUCUUCCCUGUUUAAUGGUAUUUCUAUGUUUAUUGUGUUUGAUUUUAGUGCUUGUUUGGGGCAAUAUAUCUGCUUCUUCAUUUCUUUCAACUCCUACGUGGGCAGGUACCCAGAGGAAAGAAACAUCCACACCUGUAUUGUGUAGUCUGUAUAUUUGAUUUGGUAUUUCCAGUAAAAUAUCUUGCCUGCACGAAUUCUCUGAUUGAAUGCUUGAAAGUGUUGAGAUACUAUCUGUUACUAUUGUUACUUUGUAUUGACUACUAUUAUCCACCCACUGUGUAUAUUAUCCCCAUCAUUUCAACUGUAUACACUGAGAGAUGAUCCAAUGUCCUGUUUUUAAUGCCUAUAUUAAAUUUUGGAAUGAAAACUGCUGUU